AAAAAGAGAAUUUGGGAAUUAGGGUAAGACUUGUGACCUUUCAACUCUCACGUGAAGUUCAGGGUAUCUCUUCGUCCUUCUUCACUCGCGGCGGCUCACCAUUCCCUCUCCGACGGAGCUCAGACCACCGUCGUGGACACACAUCUCUCCAAUGCCUCUCGUCCCUCUCUAGCUCUUUCUCUUUUCGCCCCUGUGAUUCAAGAUCGGGACACCUCCGUUCUUCGCCUCAACCUUCUUCGUGUCAAAUCGAUGCUUCCUUCAGCUCGUCUUCGGUUACUGAUGAAGAUUGACACAGAGAAGAAGUGAUUCCGCACUAGAUGAAGAUGAUGUUGAAAGUAAGACUAUGAAUUGAAGACGCGAUGAUUGACGCGCAUACUUUGUCGUUCUUGCGAUGCAUCUCAGGCGAGGAUGACGGUGAGGAUUGAAGAGGUGAAAUGAAGAUUGUUGUAGAAUCCGGAGAUUCAAGGUUGAUGCGAAGAUGAAGCUGGAGUUGUGAUGAUGAUCGAAGCCAUGGUUAGAGAAGAUUCUGGUGAUUUGAGGUGUGAAGAAGAGGGAUUGAAGAUUGAUGAAGGCCGAGAGAGGGUCUGAAGAUUGAUGAAUUGAUGAAGGUUCAAAGAGAGAGAGGUUAACAAUGGAGAAGAUUGAGAGUGUGGAGUGAAAUUGAAGAUGAUGAAGAAUGGUGUAGUAGAUGAUGAGGAGUAUGAUGAUUGAAGGUGAGGAAAAGUGGUGGAGGAGAUGGAGAAGAAAAUGGAGUGAAGAGUUCAGAAGAUGGAGAUGAGAGUGAAGUGAAGGUGAUGAUGAAUGAAGAAUCGAGAGAGUUCAGAGAGAUUGGCUAGAGAUUGAAGGAGGUGGAAGAUGAAGUUUUAAGAGUGAAAAAAUGGUGGAGAGAGGAUUGAAGAUGGAGAUUCUAAAUUUAUAGAAGUAAAGGGAAAAGAAAUCAGUUACAGAUGAAGAAUUUUUUGCCAAUGGAUUUGAAUUUUUCAGUUAUCAAAGGAACGGUUAGGAUUCAAUCUAAAAGGUACGUUCACAACUGAGAUGGUUCCUUCUGAGUCAUGUUGCAGGGCUGAUUGAAUGGUUUAUGGAGGGCUGUACAAUGCGAACACGAUAGCAGGUGAGUGAUUUCUGAAUGAUGAGCUGAAUGACGCGAAUUUAAACUGUCUGUUUGGGAUAUGUAGGUUAUGGCAUUGGUGUAAAAAGUUGGGGUUACUAGAAGGUUUGCUGGCUGGGCGGUAUGUGUGACUGUAAGUGUUAUGAUUUCAUGAAGUAUGAAUCAGGUGGUGAGGUCUUAGCAGCUUGUUGGGUUGAGGUGAUAGGAGGAUCAAAACUUCAUGUUGAACCAUGGUUGGCUUGCAGGUGCAAUGCGUAAGCUAAUACCAUAGCUAAGAUGAAGUGGAGUUGACUUGAAGAAUCAGAGAGAGAAGUUUAGGAUCAGUUUGAAUUCGGUCAACUGUUUGACUAGAAAGUCAACUAUAGGUCAAAUGUACAAUUUUGAUGUGGUUUUCAAUGUACUUUGCUUUUGCCUUGUCUUUGUAUGUUAACUUCUUUAAAACUAUGGACAAUAUUCAAUG